rnacentral:rRNA from 1 species
AGCGAACGCUGGCGGCAGGCUUAACACAUGCAAGUCGAGCGGGCGUAGCAAUACGUCAGCGGCAGACGGGUGAGUAACGCGUGGGAACGUACCUUUUGGUUCGGAACAACACAGGGAAACUUGUGCUAAUACCGGAUAAGCCCUUACGGGGAAAGAUUUAUCGCCAUUGGAGCGGCCCGCGUUGGAUUAGCUAGUUGGUG